rnacentral:rRNA from 1 species
UACGUAGGGACCAAGCGUUGUUCGGAUUUACUGGGCGUAAAGGGCGCGUAGGCGGUUUGACAAGUCUGAUGUGAAAUCUAUGGGCUCAACCCAUAGCCUGCAUUAGAAACUGUCGGGCUUGAGUAUGGGAGAGGUGAGUGGAAUUUCCGGUGUAGCGGUGAAAUGCGUAGAUAUCGGAAGGAACACCUGUGGCGAAAGCGGCUCACUGGGCCAUAACUGACGCUGAGGCGCGAAAGCUAGGGGAGCAAACAGG